rnacentral:lncRNA from 1 species
AAAGGCCAAGAGAAGAACCUCAAUGGCGCCCACCAGGGUCUGUGUCAGCGCGCCUGGACCAGGUCAGAACAAUGGCCCCCACCAAUGCCUCAGGCUCUGGAGAGGUCCCUCCUCUCACCAAGAUGCCCCCAGAGCCCCCCAGAAAAAAAGUUUACCAAUGCCUGGUCUAGACCAAGUGGAGGAAGAAAACAUGGUCAUGUGACUAAAUUCUGCCCAAUGAGAUGUGAGCAAAAGAAACCUGUGUGAUUUCUUAGCGAUGGCCUCUGAAGAAGCAUCUUGCUCUGCAAUUUCUCCUUCACCCUUACCAAAAACUAGAGCCUGGAGCAGGUAGGACCUAAGAGGAUGAUAGAAAGGAGGUGAAAAUCUGACAGCUCAAAAUGAAGCAAAAAUCCGAGAUAAAACAGACACCAUUUUGUGCCCACUCAGUCUUCUCUCCAGGGUCAUACAUGUGUCUACUAUGCACCCGCCUUAAUUGCUCCGGGCCAGGUACCAGAUAACUAGAGACAGCUGCUAUGCUCCAGCGUCCCGGAAAUUACUCAGAUUAGCCGAUCCAGAGGGAAUCUGAGGAACCCAGCUAACUCCACCUCACUUGCCACACAUAAACUGCCCCCUACAUACAGGUCCAGCCUGUGGGACAUUUUCCAGGUGCAACCCGCUCUGUGGCCCUGAGUGGCAGCCUUCUCUCUUUCAAAGUUGACCAUUUAUCACCAUAGCCUGUAAUAGGUGUAGGAUGGACCCACAGGACUGUGGGAUUUUCUUCCUGGCAGCCCUCAACUAAUACUAGCUUCUGUAGCUAAUAAAUGAAGAUAACUGUACUUGUCUCACACUUGAAACCAAUACUGAAGGUCAUGCAAAAGGCUAUAGAGAAGCAGAUGUAACAGAAAUUGUAACCAGAAAAUUCUCACAGAACAGAUGCCCUUGCAAUUGAAAAGCACUCCCUCUAAUAAUGCUUGGCAUAAUUUUUGUUAGGAAGAUUAGCCCUGAGCUGACAUCUGCCACCAAUCCUCCUCUUUUUGCUGAGGAAGACUGGCCCUGAGCUAACAUCCGUGCCCAUCUUCCUCCACUUUAUAUGUAGGACGCCAGCCACAGCAUGGCUUGCCAAGUGGUGCCAUGUCUGCACCCGGGAUCCGAACCAGUGAACCCCGGGCCCCCGAAGCAGAAUAUGCAAUCUUAACAGCUGCACCACCGGGCCAGCCCCCCAAACUAGUAUUAUUCUUGAUACUAGUUUUUAUUUAAAUAAUGGCUUAGAUUUUACUAAAUAUCUAAUAUAUGUUCAUUUAUUUAUUUAAAAAAUGUGCCAAGUUUUAAGCCAAAUGCUAUGAUGGCACUAUUUCGUUUAUUUUUAUUUUUCCUUUAUUUAUUUCCUUUACCGUUUCCUUUAUUUGUAGUAAAAACUUCACAGUAUA